CCUACGGGAGGCAGCAGUGAGGAAUAUUGGUCAAUGGACGGAAGUCUGAACCAGCCAUGCCGCGUGCAGGAAGACGGCUCUAUGAGUUGUAAACUGCUUUUGUACAAGGGUAAACCUGAAUACGUGUAUUCAGCUGAAAGUACUGUACGAAUAAGGAUCGGCUAACUCCGUGCCAGCAGCCGCGGUAAUACGGAGGAUCCAAGCGUUAUCCGGAUUUAUUGGGUUUAAAGGGUGCGUAGGCGGAUUGAUAAGUUAGAGGUGAAAUGUCCGAGCUUAACUCGGGAACUGCCUCUAAUACUGUUGGUCUAGAGAGUAGAUGCGGUAGGCGGAAUGUAUGGUGUAGCGGUGAAAUGCUUAGAGAUCAUACAGAACACCGAUUGCGAAGGCAGCUUACCAAUCUAUAUCUGACAUUGAGGCACGAAAGCGUGGGGAGCAAACAGGAUUAGAUACCCGGGUAGUC
rnacentral:rRNA from 1 species